UUGCAGACCAGCAAAUUAAUAAGUUUCCAUUAAAUCCGAUUGCCAGUACUAUUUCAACAAACAUUCACUCAUUUACUAUAAUAUACAUAUAAUUGUAUUGUAAAUAUAAUAAUUAAUUCAAUAUCAGUUAUAUAAAUUGAAUGAAUAUAUAAUUAUCGAUAGAUUUGUGAUAAGUCUUUAUUGAUAAACGCAUUGCAGAAGAAAGAAAUACAAAUAAAAGCGAAAAGGAGCAAAAGUUUUCUCUCUCUCUCUCUCUCUCUCUCUCUUUCUUUCGGUGUCCGUGCAAAAGCGCGAGAUGUAGUUAAAUCGUGCAACGCCGCUCUCAUCGGCAUAUAUAACGCAUAUACGCACACACUCUUGCGUUAUCCUUUCUCUUGUUCGUUCUUUCUCUCUUUCUCUCUCUCUCUCUCUCUCUCACUCAGGUUCUCUCUCGGUGUCUAUCUGUUGUGUUGUUCGUCGUUCGGACUCGGCGUGUGCUGCAGCUAGCGUUCAAGCUUGUGUGUCUGUGCCUGCCUGCCACUCGGCUAGCUGUGACUGCUGUGAGCGACAACUAUACGAGUCUCCGCCAACAAACGUCGAGGAACAUGCGCUGUCGGCGAGAACUUUCUCGCUCGUAGAAAACUGUGAUAUUGCCGUGAUAGUGUGUAUAUAUGCACAUAUGUGUUUUUGGUGGUGCAAGUACGUGUUGUUCUACAAUUAGCCGAUAGUGUAAAGCAGUCGCAGAAAGGCAUGAGCAAGCUCGCCACCGCUAACGAUGGUCCAGCAGCAACAGCAGCAGCUGAGAAGUGCUCGCUCUGACAGGUCGCCGACUCUUUUGUUGUACACGUGAAAAAGUCGCCGGCUGCCGAGGUUGUUGCUGCCGUUCUGCUUCCUAGUCGACGAGCAUCUUCCGUGUCGUGCAUGGCUGAACUCAGACACUUCUGUAAGGGAUGGCAGGGAAGGAUGGAAAACUCGAACCCCAAGAAAAUGAAAUUGUGAGGCAGGGUUUUAUGGUGAAGCGGUCGCAAAACAAAAAGCGCUUCACACCUGUUAACUACAAACAACGCUGGUUCGUCCUGACUCGUCACCAUCUCGUUUAUUACGAUGGCAAUGGCGAGAAAAUGUUAUUCUGCCUACAAAUUGAG